rnacentral:rRNA from 1 species
CCUACGGGUGGCAGCAGUGGGGAAUAUUGCACAAUGGGGGAAACCCUGAUGCAGCGACGCCGCGUGAGGGAAGAAGGAUUUCGGUAUGUAAAGCUCUAUCAGCAGGGAAGAAAAUGACGGUACCUGACUAAGUAGCCCCGGCUAACUACGUGCCAGCAGCCGCGGUAAUACGUAGGGGGCAAGCGUUAUCCGGAUUUACUGGGUGUAAAGGGGGCGUAGACGGCUGGGCAAGUCAGGUGUGAAAGGCUGGGGCUCAACCCCCGGACUGCGGUUGAAACUGUCAGGCUGGAGUGUAGGAGAGGCAGGCGGAAUUCCUGGUGUAGCGGUGAAAUGCGUAGAUAUUAGGAGGAACACCAGUGGCGAAGGCGGCCUACUGGACGAUUACUGACGUUGAGGCUCGAAAGCGUGGGGAGCAAACAGGAUUAGAUACCCUUGUAGUC